GACGAACGCUGGCGGCGUGCUUAACACAUGCAAGUCGAACGGAAAGGCCCUGCUUUUGUGGGGUGCUCGAGUGGCGAACGGGUGAGUAACACGUGAGUAACCUGCCCUUGACUUUGGGAUAACUUCAGGAAACUGGGGCUAAUACCGGAUAGGAGCUCCUGCUGCAUGGUGGGGGUUGGAAAGUUUCGGCGGUUGGGGAUGGACUCGAGGCUUAUCAGCUUGUUGGUGGGGUAGUGGCUUACCAAGGCUUUGACGGGUAGCCGGCCUGAGAGGGUGACCGGCAACAGUGGGACAGUGAUACGGCCCAGACUCCUACGGGAGGCAGCAGUGGGGAAUAUUGCACAAUGGGCGGAAGCCUGAUGCAGCAACGCCGCGUGCGGGAUUAUGGCCUUCGGGUUGUAAGCCGUUUUCGCCUGUGACGAAGCGUGAGUGACGGUAAUGGGUAAAGAAGCACCGGCUAACUACGUG
rnacentral:rRNA from 1 species